rnacentral:rRNA from 1 species
AAACUGGAGAGUUUGAUCCUGGCUCAGAACGAACGCUGGCGGCGUGCUUAACACAUGCAAGUCGGACGUGAAAGUUUCUUUCGAGAGACGAGUAAAGUGGCGCACGGGUGAGUAACGC